rfam:Ovis aries breed Texel chromosome 2, whole genome shotgun sequence.
UCCCUGGUAGCCCAGAUGGUAAGCAUCUGCCUGCAAUGUAGGAGACCCAGGUUCGAUCCCUGGUUUGGGAA